GGAGGAAAAGCAGUAGGGCUGCAGCAGAUGGGUGCUCGCUCUCGGUGGCCCAGGUCACCUCCCCCGUCUAUGGAAACUCAGCAUCAGUGCCAACUGCCUGCCGCAGGGGUUAAAGAGCAGCUGGCCAAGAGGGCUUGACCUCUAGCCUUGGCCAGCUUUUUAAAGCAAAGAAAAAGUAAAAGAGCAAACAUGUACACAUGUCAUAACACCGAGAAGUCUUAAUAGGUGACUUUGUCUGGGCAAGACAGUGUUGUUUUGAAAUGAGAAAAUUCAGAAAUAAAACUUUAUCAGUGGCCCAGCUGCGGCAUGGACUAGGUGAAUGCUAAGGAUGAGAAGUCCGUUUCUGUCUCUAGCAAGAGGGUUUUGGGUUUCUUCAGCCUGUAAGCUGGACUCCUGGGUCACGUUCCUCUGGCUGCUCUGAGAGCUCCUUUCAUUCAACAGGUACAGGAGCUGUAUCUGUGACCUGGAAAAUGAAUGCAGCACUAGGAUUUAACCGCAGUGCCCACAUCUUCUGGACCCACCCCAGCAUGUCCCCCCAAGCUCCAGUCACUCCGUUCUCAGGGAUUCGCUUGCUACCACGAGAGAACAGCCUCACCGGGAGGUGAAAACCAAAUGCAGCAACAAUGACUCAAAAUAAUCAAAAGCACUGGUUCUGGUGGAGGACUGUGAGGCCGUCGAAUGACACUGGAUGAUGUCUUUCCUGGUCCUCUUUACUGGAGCUGUCUGCUCGUUGUGGGUCAGAUGCUGCUCUGGAAUGUGGGCCGAGUGGACAGCAAGUCUGGGAAUGAACUUUCUUGUGGUUUGGUGGCUUUUGACCUCCAAACGAAAGCGUACAUUCCUUUGGAAACAUCUGCUUUGCAGAAUUUCAUUAAAGAUGGCUGAGCAUU